AGACCCAGUGUAGGAAUACACAGGCAAACCUAGGCGGAUAAAUAACCGCCGUACCAAGGAAGAGAAACAUGAAUCAUCAUUAAAUGUUACUGGGCGUAUUAUGUAAAAUGAAGAGUUGUACACAUAUUUGUGUUGAAUUGCUGAAUAACACUUAUGAGGCAUCUGGAGAGAAAGUUUUAGCUGUGAUAUUUAUUUUGAAGGGUAUCUUCAAACACCUCAUUCUGUUUAUGCUUGUGUGUCUGAAACGCAAUUAUAUUUUAACAUUUUGAUUUUUAAACUGUUAUGAGGUAACUGUGUAGAAAAAUGCAUCUGUAUUUGGUGAUGAUGAUCACAGCCCUUUUUGCUGGUCACAAUGCCUACUUCUUUUAUGACGUUAUCGGUUGUCAUGUCUACGAAACCUCAGGCAUGUGCGGAUUUUGUACGGGCGGAUGCUGGCCUUACUGGAGUUACGAAAACCAAACAUGUGGAUCCUGUCAUCACUGCGAACACUGUCCGGACGGCCGUAGGUAUGUCGAUGCACCCCCGAAUGUCCCCUAGGGAAGUUUGGCGAUGACUGCCGCAAAGAUUGUCCCUACAAAUGCCGGGCGUGCCAUCGUCAGACUGGGGAAUGUAAACUGUGGUGCAGUAAUCUGUGCCUCGACACGUGUCAGCUGUCGACUGGGAUAUGUCGCUACAACAUGACCAUGUUAACCAUGCAACCAUGCAAGAAUCAACCUGACGGUCAUAUACACGACUGUCGAGAAUAUUCGGAUAGAUAUAUUGGUUAAUAUUUCAAAUUAUUCUUAUAAAGCUGUUACCGUACGUGUAUUUUGACCGUAAAUAACUUUCUACAUGCAUGGUAUGAAAGAAUAAAUAGCAAAUAAAUAAAGCAACAACAACAACA